GUUUCAAGUUCCUUUAGUGUCCACAUCACCAACAAACUAUCAUUGUCCAAACAUACCAAGACAGUUGUGAAGAGGGCACGACAACACCUUUCCCCCUCAGGAGACUGAAAAGAUUUGGCAUGGGUCUCCAGAUCCUCAAAAAGUUCUACAGCUGCACCAUCGAGAGCAUCCUGACCGCUUGCAUCACCACCUGGUAUGGCAACUGUUCGGCAUCUGACCGUAAGGCGCUACACAGUGUUACACACUGUAGUGUGAACAGCCCAGUACAUCACUGGAGCCAAGCUUCCUGCAAUCCAGGACCUACAUAAUAGGCGAUGACAGAGGAAAGCCCAUUAAAUUGUCAGAGACUCCAGUCAACCAUAAACUGUUUUCUCUGCUACCGCACGGCAAGUGGUACCGGAGCGCCAAGUCUAGAACCAAAAGGCUCCUGAACAGCUUCUACCCCCAAAGCCAUAAGACUGCUGAACAAUUAAUCAAAUGGCCACCGAACUAUCUACACUGUUAUCUAUGCAUAGUCACUUCACCCCCACCUACAUGUACAAAUGACCUCAACUAACCUGUACCCCCGCACACUGACUGGGUACCGGUGCCCCCUGUAUAUAGCCUCCACACUGACUGGGUACCGGUACACACUGUAUAUAGCCUCCACACUGACUGGGUAUUGGUGCCCCCUGUAUAUAGCCUCCACACUGACUGGGUACCGGUGCCCCCUGUAUAGAGCCUCCACACUGACUCGGUACCGGUGCCCCCUGUAUAUAGCCUCCACACUGACUGGGUACCGGUGCCCCCUGUAUAUAGCCUCCACACUGACUGGGUACCGGUGCCCCCUGUAUAUAGCCUCCACACUGACUGGGUACCGGUGCCCCCUGUAUAUAGCCUCCACACUGACUGGGUACCGGUGCCCCCUGUAUAUAGCCUCCACACUGACUGGGUACCGGUGCCCCCUGUAUAUAGCCUCCACACUGACUCGGUACCGGCACCCCCUGUAUAUAGCCUCCACACUGACUGGGUACCGGUGCCCCCUGUAUAUAGCCUCCACACUGACUGGGUACCGGUACACCCUGUAUAUAGUCUAUUUUUUAAAUAUUUUCUUAACUCUUUCUUGAACUGCAUUGUUGGUUAAGGGCUUGUAAGUCAGCAUUUCACUGUAAGGUCUACACUGUUGGUUAAGGGCUUGUAAGUCAGCAUUUCACGGUAAGGUCUACACUUGUUGUAUUCGGCGCAUGUGACUAAUAAAGUUUGAUUUGAUCUCUGUAACGUCCUUAUUGUAACCCUCCGUCACCAGGACCUCGUUUCACCCUAUCCCCUAUGGGCCCUGGUCUAAAGUAGUGCACCCUAUCCCGGUAUGGGUCCUGGUCUAAAGUAGUGCACCCUAUCCCCUAUGGGCCCUGGUCUAAAGUAGUGCACCCUAUCCCCUAUGGGCCCUGGUCUAAAGUAGUGCACCCUAUCCCGGUAUGGGUCCUGGUCUAAAGUAGUGCACCCUAUCCCCUAUGGGUCCUGGUCUAAAGUAGUGCACUGUAUAGGGUAUAGGGUGCCAUUUCAAAAGCAGCCCAGUGUCACGAAUACCACUGAAGGUGGCUCCCCUUCCUGCUCGGGUGGCGCUCGGCGGUCUAUUAGCUGCCACUGAAGGCGGAUCCUCUUCCUGCUCGGGUGGCACUCGGCGGUCUAUUAGCUGCCACUGAAGGUGGCUCCCCUUCCUGCUCGGCGGUCUAUUAGCUGCCACUGAAGGUGGCUCCCCUUCCUGCUCGGGCGGCGCUCGGCGGUCUAAUAGCUGCCACUGAAGGCGGCUCCCCUUCCUGCUCGGCGGUCUAUUAGCUGCCACUGAAGGCGGCUCCCCUUCCUGCUCGGCGGUCUAUUAGCUGCCACUGAAGGCGGCUCCCCUUCCUGCUCGGCGGUCUAUUAGCUGCCACUGAAGGCGGCUCCCCUUCCUGCUCGGCGGUCUAUUAGCUGCCACUGAAGGCGGCUCCCCUUCCUGCUCGGCGGUCUAUUAGCUGCCACUGAAGGUGGCUCCCCUUCCUGCUCGGCGGUCUAUUAGCUGUCACUGAAGGUGGCUCCCCUUCCUGCUCGGCGGUCUAUUAGCUGCCACUGAAGGUGGCUCCCCUUCCUGCUCGGCGGUCUAUUAGCUGCCACUGAAGGUGGCUCCCCUUCCUGCUCGGCGGUCUAUUAGCUGCCACUGAAGGUGGCUCCCCUUCCUGCUCGGCGGUCUAUUAGCUGCCACUGAAGGUGGCUCCCCUUCCUGCUCGGCGGUCUAUUAGCUGCCACUGAAGGUGGCUCCCCUUCCUGCUCGGGUGGCGCUCGGCGGUCUAUUAGCUGCCACUGAAGGUGGCUCCCCUUCCUGCUCGGCGGUCUAUUAGCUGUCACUGAAGGUGGCUCCCCUUCCUGCUCGGCGGUCUAUUAGCUGCCACUGAAGGUGGCUCCCCUUCCUGCUCGGCGGUCUAUUAGCUGCCACUGAAGGUGGCUCCCCUUCCUGCUCGGCGGUCUAUUAGCUGCCACUGAAGGUGGCUCCCCUUCCUGCUCGGCGGUCUAUUAGCUGCCACUGAAGGUGGCUCCCCUUCCUGCUCGGCGGUCUAUUAGCUGCCACUGAAGGUGGCUCCCCUUCCUGCUCGGGUGGCGCUCGGCGGUCUAUUAGCUGCCA